rnacentral:tRNA from 1 species
GGGGGUGUAGAUGAUGUGGUAAAGCACCUGCCUAAAAAGCAUGAGGCUGAAUUCCACCCCCA